rfam:Dipodomys ordii contig_30391, whole genome shotgun sequence.
GGUGGCUCAGUAGUAGAGUGCUUGCCUUGCAUGCAUGAGACCCUGGGUUCGAUUCCUCAGCACCA